rnacentral:rRNA from 1 species
ACUCCUACGGGAGGCAGCAGUGGGGAAUAUUGCACAAUGGGCGCAAGCCUGAUGCAGCCAUGCCGCGUGUGUGAAGAAGGCCUUCGGGUUGUAAAGCACUUUCAGUAGGGAGGAAAGGUUGUACGUUAAUACCGUGCAGCUGUGACUGUUACCUACAGAAGAAGCACCGGCUAACUCCGUGCCAGCAGCCGCGGUAAUACGGAGGGUGCAAGCGUUAAUCGGAAUUACUGGGCGUAAAGCGCGCGUAGGCGGUUAGGUCAGUCAGAAUGUGAAAGCCCCCGGGCUCAACCUGGGAAUUUGACACCUGAUACUGCCUGACUAGAGUACAGGAAGAGGGUGGUGGAAUUUCCUGUGUAGCGGUGAAAUGCGUAGAUAUAGGAAGGAACAUCAGUGGCGAAGGCGGCCACCUGGUCUGAUACUGACGCUGAGGUGCGAAAGCGUGGGGAGCAAAACAGGAUUAGAUACCCUGGUAGGAUAGCCU